rnacentral:rRNA from 1 species
UUGUUGGUAAGGUAAAAGCUUACCAAGGCUUCGAUCAGUAGCUGGUCUGAGAGGACGACCAGCCACACUGGGACUGAGACACGGCCCAGACUCCUACGGGAGGCAGCAGUGGGGAAUUUUGGACAAUGGGGGCAACCCUGAUCCAGCCAUGCCGCGUGAGUGAAGAAGGCCUUCGGGUUGUAAAGCUCUUUCAGCCGGAACGAAACGGUUACGGUUAAUACCCGUGACUACUGACGGUACCGGAAGAAGAAGCACCGGCUAACUACGUGCCAGCAGCCGCGGUAAUACGUAGGGUGCGAGCGUUAAUCGGAAUUACUGGGCGUAAAGCGUGCGCAGGUGGUUUUGUAAGUCAGAUGUGAAAGCCCCGGGCUCAACCUGGGAACUGCGUUUGAAACUACAAGACUAGAGUGUGGCAGAGGGGGGUGGAAUUCCGCGUGUAGCAGUGAAAUGCGUAGAGAUGUGGAGGAACACCGAUGGCGAAGGCAGCCCCCUGGGUCAACACUGACGCUCAGGCACGAAAGCAUGGGGAGCAAACAGGAUUAGAUACCCUGGUAGUCCAUGCCCUAAACGAUGUCAACUAGUUGUCGGGCCUUUACGGGCUUGGUAACGUAGCUAACGCGUGAAGUUGACCGCCUGGGGAGUACGAUCGCAAGAUUAAAACUCAAAUGAAUUGACGGGGACCCGCACAAGCGGUGGAUUAUGUGGAUUAAUUCGAUGCAACGCGAAAAACCUUACCUACCCUUGACAUGUAUCGAAGCCCGCAGAAAAGCGGGGGUGCCCGAAAGGGAACGAUAACACAGGUGCUGCAUGGCUGUCGUCAGCUCGUGUCGUGAGAUGUUGGGUUAAGUCCCGCAACGAGCGCAACCCUUGUCAUUAAUUGCCGUCAUUUAGUUGGGCACUUUAAUGAGACUGCCGG